AAAAAAAACAAAACUAAAACCAAAACCUUUCUUUCUCUCUCUCACUCGUUGGAACCAAAGGAAGAAAUCAGAGUCAUCUCCUUCCUCUGAUUUCUUAUGCAUUCUUCCUCUGAUUUUCGCAAGAAGAACAACGGUGACCACCGUCUCCUCUGUCUUCGAUUUUCAAAGGAAGUACAACAAUGGCUCCUACUCCUUGAUUCUGAUUUUCGAAGAACAAAAACACAAAACCAAUCUUUUUCCUCUGAUUUCUGAAAGAAAUACAUAAGAACAGCAUCAGAAACAACAAACACAAAACAACGGUCUUCUUGCCUUCUCUUGAUUCGAAAAUCAGCAAUUGCUUUGUUCUUGGUCUCCAAUACCGCACAUUACUGUUUGUCUACAGAUCGAAACCAGUCGAGAAUGAUGGAUUAGCGGAGUUAAUUAGAGUUUCCAAGAAUGUUAUGAGCUGAGCACGAUAGAGUUUUGUAGUUUUGUAUUAAGCUUUGGUAAUUGUAUAUUAGUCUAGACUGUAUUGGUUAUGUUGGACUUUUAUAGAGACUUUUAUGAUUACUUUAUGAAUUAGAUAGACAUUUGGACCGAGAAUUAGCUGAUUUAGUUGUGAUUUAGAACUAAAAAGUCAUUUGCGCAAGUUUUGGGAUUGAGAUUUGAGAUUCUUGGGAAGUAAACCCCGUGAUGACCCUGUUUACUUAGUCAACGGUAAGUUGGGUUGUUACAAGUACAAUGAAAAAUAUUUUUUAUAGUUGUAAAGUCAUAAAUAAGUUUUAAAGAGUAGUUUAUAGAGAAAACAUUCAAUUGUUUAUACUUAAAAACAUUUCCUUUUUUUUCUACUCAAAAGAAACAUUUCUUUUUUAAUCUUUGAACUCAUAUUCUUUCUUUCGUUUAAUUGUUUUAUUUAUUUUCCAACUAAAAUGUACUAAAGUAAAUCAAUUGCUCCUACCAAAGGGAGAAAGAGACACAAUAGUAAAACAACUCUACUCUUACUUUGAGUUUGUUACUAAGUGGUUUGACAAAAAUAUUAACUAAACAUUACGAUCUAGCCUCAAAAAUAGAGUUGUUUUUCUAAAAUUUUCUCAAUGUUUGUUUAACAAAUUAAAUUUGAACAACUAUGACUUUUAAUACUAAUUAUCUAUGCCAACAUUUAUCUAAAAUAAAUCCAAUUUACCAAAACCAAUUAUAAUCAACUUGAUAUGCUCCAUCUGUUUUA